CGCGAGGGAAAAGUUUAGGCUUGCGUGGGAAAGGUUGUUAAUGAAGAACCCGGAAAUGUGCCAUCUUGUUUCCGCUUUGCGGAGAUCAACAACAGAGGUCGGCUAAUUCCGGGCCUCAUGGCUCCGGACAAUUUAAACUCAAAUUCUCUCAGUCCAUUUUUAAGGCAUACUGUUCUGAAGAGAACAUUUAAUGUAACUCUGCCAAAUUCUUUCUUCAUUGAUAGAGAAAACACUCCUACUCUAGAACAAAAGCCAAACAAAACACCGAGGAGGCAAAAUAGAAUCUUCUAAAUGAUAUACCCAAAGGUAAUAUCUAUUAAUAUAAAGGUAAGCUGACACUUCUCUCACAAAGAAGUACUUCCAUGUUGAUGAUGUCCUCCAUCAGCUGCUCACAGGAACAUAAUUGCUCUUCUAACAUCUAGGGAUAGAAAAUCUGUUCUUAUAUGAUAUUUGUUUUCUCAGAAAAAUUUUCCUAUUACAAAAGCAGUAUAUAUAUUCAUUGCAUUCUUUCUAAGCAUAUACUACUGAUGCAUCCAUAUAAAAUAUAAUGCUGAAUAAAGACAUCUGAUGAAAAGCCUUUCUUUUUCACUUUAGAGUCUCAUUCUCUAACCAGAGAAUGCAAUUACUUUCCAAAUACCAGGCAUGCUGAAACAAAGUGAAUGACGUUAUUAUGCAUAUGUGUUAUUCCCUUGACUUAUUUUCUUACUCUUCAUUUCUCUGAAAUGCUAAAAGUAGUAUAUAAAAAUCAUAAAAGGAAUAUUCAGUAUGUUUUACUUUGUAUAACUUUUAUGUGCAAAUAGGAAAGCAAAGAAAAAAAUGAUUAAACUGUCGCAAUAUACUGAAUUAUCUUCAAUAGCCUACAUAUUUGGGGAAGAUGGGUAAAUUUAAAUAUCACAUCCCAAAAUAUUUGGCAUUAAUGCUCUACUUCUAACAUGGUCUAGUAAAACAAAUUAGUUGGAGAUAAGGAUUUAUCAAUAGUAUAUAAUGUUUCUAGAGGAGCAUAUCCUCUUUGAAAUUUUAACAAAUGCUAUGGAAACUUCAUUGAUGAAAGUGGAUUUAUGCGAGCAAUCUAAAAUUAACAUAAUUCUAAAAUAUUCAAGUGCUCCUGAAAUUUUCAAUGUAUUCUGAUUUAAGAAAACUGUAUCUAAAAUAUCCAUUAAUGUGCCUAAAAUUCAAGAUUGGAACAAUAAAACCCCCCCAAAUGGCCAAUAAAUACUUGCUCUUCCAUUGAAUUGGAUGAAUUGAAUUGAAUUGAAUUGUGAAAACAGCACAGAACUGGUGGUUGAUGGAGA
rnacentral:lncRNA from 1 species